CAACAGGGAUUGCCUUAGUAACUGCGAGUGAAGCGGCAAAAGCUCAAAUUUGAAAUCUGGCGUCUUCGGCGUCCGAGUUGUAAUUUGGAGGGGCAUCUUCGGAGUUGGCGCCGUCCUAAGUUCCUUGGAACAGGACGUCAUAGAGGGUGAGAAUCCCGUGCCUGGAUGGCUGUCCAUCUCCAUGUGAAGUGUCUCCGACGAGUCGAGUUGUUUGGGAAUGCAGCUCAAAAUGGGUGGUAAAUUUCAUCUAAAGCUAAAUAUUGGCGAGAGACCGAUAGCGCACAAGUAGAGUGAUCGAAAGAUGAAAAGCACUUUGAAAAGAGAGUUAAAAAGUACGUGAAAUUGUUGAAAGGGAAGCGCUUGAGACCAGACUCAAUCUUUGGUGAUCAGCCGUGCUUCUGCACGGUGCACUUGCCAUGGAUUGGGCCAGCAUCGGUUCUGACGGCGGGACAAAAGGCGGAGGAAUGUGGCUCUCUUCGGGGAGUGUUAUAGCCUCUGUCACAAUGCCGCCAGUUGGGACCGAGGACCGCGCUUCGGCUAGGAUGCUGGCGUAAUGGUCUUAAGCGACCCGUCUUGAAACACGGACCAAGGAGUCUAACAUCUAUGCGAGUGUUCGGGUGGAAAACCCUUGCGCGUAAUGAAAGUGAACGGAGGUGGGAACCCUUCGGGGUGCACCAUCGACCGAUCCUGAUGUCUUCGGAAGGAUUUGAGUAAGAGCAUAGCUGUUGGGACCCGAAAGAUGGUGAACUAUGCCUGAAUAGGGUGAAGCCAGAGGAAACUCUGGUGGAGGCUCGCAGCGGUUCUGACGUGCAAAUCGAUCGUCAAAUUUGGGUAUAGGGGCGAAAGACUAAUCGAACCAUCUAGUAGCUGGUUCCUGCCGAA
rnacentral:rRNA from 1 species